rnacentral:rRNA from 1 species
CCGGAGAAAUAUAUACAUUCAUUAGCGGAGGAAAAGAACCCACCAGGGAUUGCCUCAGUAACGGCGAGUGAAGCGGCAACAGCUCAAAUUUGAAAUCUGGCCCUUUCAGGGUCCGAGUUGUAAUUUGUAGAGGAUGCUUCGGCGAGGGCUCCCGUCUAAGUUCCCUGGAACGGGACGUCAUAGAGGGUGAGAAUCCCGUAUGUGAUGGGUUGCUCGAGCCAUGUGAAGCUCCUUCGACGAGUCGAGUUGUUUGGGAAUGCAGCUCUAAAUGGGAGGUAAAUUUCUUCUAAAGCUAAAUACCGGCCAGAGACCGAUAGCGCACAAGUAGAGUGAUCGAAAGAUGAAAAGCACUUUGGAAAGAGAGUUAAAAAGUACGUGAAAUUGUUGAAAGGGAAGCGCUUGCAACCAGACUUGUCCGCAGUUGUUCAGCCGGUCUCCUGACCGGCGUACUCUUCUGCGGCCAGGCCAGCAUCAGUUCGGGCGGCUGGAUAAAGGCCUCGGGAAUGUGGCUCUCUUCGGGGAGUGUUAUAGCCCGGGGCGGAAUGCAGCCAGCCUGGACUGAGGAUCUCGCUUCGGCAAGGAUGCUGGCGUAAUGGUUGUAAGCGGCCCGUCUUGAAACACGGACCAAGGAGUCUAACAUCUAUGCGAGUGUUUGGGUGUCAAACCCAUACGCGUAAUGAAAGUGAACGGAGGUGGGAACCCGCAAGGGCGCACCAUCGACCGAUCCUGAUGUCUUCGGAUGGAUUUGAGUAAGAGCAUAGCUGUUGGGACCCGAAAGAUGGUGAACUAUGCCUGAAUAGGGUGAAGCCAGAGGAAACUCUGGUGGAGGCUCGCAGCGGUUCUGACGUGCAAAUCGAUCGUCAAAUUUGGGUAUAGGGGGCGNAAAGACUAAUCGAACCAUCUAGUAGCUGGUCUCGCAAAAUCCCCCCC